UACGUAGGGGGCAAGCGUUGUCCGGAAUCAUUGGGCGUAAAGCGCGCGUAGGCGGCCCGGUAAGUCCGUUGUGAAAGUCAAAGGCUCAACCUUUGAAUGCCGACGGAUACUGCCGGGCUAGAGUCCGGAAGAGGCGAGUGGAAUUCCUGGUGUAGCGGUGGAAUGCGCAGAUAUCAGGAGGAACACCAGCGGCGAAGGCGGCGCUCUGGUCCGAGACUGACGCUGAGGCGCGAAAGCGUGGGGAGCAAACAGG
rnacentral:rRNA from 1 species